rnacentral:rRNA from 1 species
UACAGAGGUCUCAAGCGUUGUUCGGAUUCAUUGGGCGUAAAGGGUGCGUAGGCGGCGCGGUAAGUCGGGUGUGAAAUCUCGGAGCUUAACUCCGAAACUGCAUUCGAUACUGCCGUGCUUUGAGGACUGGAGAGGAGACUGGAAUUUACGGUGUAGCGGUGAAAUGCGUAGAUAUCGUAAGGAAGACCAGUGGCGAAGGCGGGUCUCUGGACAGUUCCUGACGCUGAGGCACGAAGGUCAGGGGGAGCAAACGGG